rnacentral:rRNA from 1 species
UACGUAGGGUGCAAGCGUUGUCCGGAAUUAUUGGGCGUAAAGAGCUCGUAGGCGGUCUGUCGCGUCGGCUGUGAAAUCCCGAGGCUCAACCUCGGGUCUGCAGUCGAUACGGGCAAACUAGAGUAUUGCAGGGGAGACUGGAAUUCCUGGUGUAGCGGUGAAAAUGCGCAGAUAUCAGGAGGAACACCGGUGGCGAAGGCGGGUCUCUGGGCAAUAACUGACGCUGAGGAGCGAAAGCGUGGGGAGCGAACGGG